AUGCUCCCACCGCUCCUGGCCAUGGCAUGGGACUACAACCACCUUUCCAGUUUGCUCAUCAUUGGUGACAGCAGUGUGGGCAAGAUCAGUUUGUUGUUGUGUUUUGCAGACAAUACAUUCUCAGGCAGCUACAUUAUCACAGUUGGAGUGGAUUUUAAAAUCCAGACAGUUUAGAUCAGUGGAGAGGAAGUGAAACUGUUGAUCUGGGACACAAGUGAACGAGAGCGCUUCCAAAUUAUUACAUCAAUAUAUUACUGAGGAACACAUGGGAUCAUUGUUGUCUAAGAUGUAACCAGUACAGAAUACAGUGUUUGCAUGAAAUUAAUCAAACUUGUGAUGAUGUCUGUCAUACUAGUGGGGACAAGAAUGAUGAACAACAGUGAAAAGUAGUAGACACAGAGGAUGUCUUUAAAUUUCCUGGGCAGAUGGAAAUACAAUUGUUUGAGAUCAGUGUCAAAGAAAAUACCAAUGUGGAAGAGAUGUUUAACUGCAUUACGGAGCCAGUUCUAUGAGCAGAGAAAGAUAACUUAGUAAAGCAGUAACAGCAGAAACAGAAUGUUGUGAUGAAGCUAACAAACAACAGUAAAAGGAAGAUGCAGUGCUGCUAAUGCCCUUUUCCUACUGAAGAGAUUCUGCUCUGACAGAUCAGCCCUCCCACUAUACUCAGGCAAGUCCACUGGGGACGACUUUGGAAGACUUCCUCAGUUUUGUGCCAUUAUUUAAAUAUUAUUUUUUCCCCAUGUUUUCUAUCAAGAGGCACUGGCAAACUACCACUUCAGUUCCAAGAAAGUACUGGAUGGAGUCUCACCCCUCUCCCCUCCCCUGCUUGCUCCAGUGCGCACUGUAGACAAGAAAGGACAUUGCCUACCAAGUGGUCUAAUUAACCCAAGAGUUUCUAUGUAAUGUAUACUGCUUUAAACAGCUUAGCCUCCCUGUUGUUGCUUUGGCUUAUGCCUUCUUUAUGUCAACCAAUCACAGACUAAAAAUUCCUCUUUAUAAUGAAAUAGUUCUUAAUUCAAGUUGGCUCCAGCCUGGCAGCAGCUGCUUCCUUGGGCCUCUUGCUUCAUUUUUGCUGGGCUCCAGGCUAGUAACUGUUACGCCCAGGGCAUGUAUCUUCACUUUGAGUUGUACAUUUUCAUUGGGGCAUAGGCUCUAUUUUUCUAGGUACCAGGAUUGCAAGUGUUGCUGCUGGAGCCCAAGGUUUCAUUUCUCCAGCCUCUGGCCUGGCAUCUUGUGCUGCUGCUGAGGGGGGCCUUGAGUUUCAGUUUGCCACCAUGAUCUAGAUUUGUGGCUGGGUCCUUUGAUACCACCUUCUUGUGCAGCAGCCCAGCUGUACCUGUGCUCUCCUUUAUUUUCAGCAUCAUUCCCAGGAUACUUCUAUGAGAAAGGAAGACUAUUGUUCAAUGUAAGGAAAUUGAAAGAUUCCUUGUUUGGGUUAUGCAGUGGUGGAGGAUGAUCACUGGUAACAAACUGGUCACACUGUACCCAGCAACGUUUUUCCAUGUUGGCUUUUCUGGGAAAACAAGGGUCCAGCUUACCCUAGGUCAUACCUCAUCCAGUUUCUCAACCAUGAACAAUGAUGUACUGCAUCAGUCCCACUGAAUGGGUCAGUGGUGAGACUGGCCAUUUCCACAUUUUGCUCCACAUACUGCUUCAUUUUGUCCCUUUUUGCAAUGAGGAGUGAUUUUAGAAAAGCAAGAACUCCCCCAAAUCAGUGGUUUCAUGGAUUGAGGGUCUACAGGGCAGAGAUAGGGCAAUUUCCAUGUACAUUCAUUCAUAGCCUGGAUGUAAACUGUCUUUCUAGUGGCAACAGAAAGUUUGUUUAGUGAUUGAGUUGGUGUAGUGGUGGGCUCCCCCUUUUCCUGAGGGGGGAGUGUGCUGGGCAAAUUAACUUCUGUGAGCAGCAGCAACACUUCACCUAGUACAAGCAAGCCAGUCUGAAAACUUUUUGGAGACUAAAAUGAGCAAUAGACUAAAUUUCAGCAGCCAAUUUUGUCUGUAUAAGGUAUGCUGAGUAACUGUGUCAUCUUCAGCUCUAAUUAUCAGGUCACCUUCUUUACCGGUCAAGUUUGUGCUUUCCCUUGACAGAAUUAAGAAGAAAUAGCAUGUGAUUUACAUUAUUAGCAUACUGUGAUAAAGAUGGGGAUUCUAAGACAUGAAGAGUUGCUUUCAGGAUAGUAAGCAUGAAGGAAGGGCACCUAUAAUCCAAAAAGAACAGGUAGAUGCCAAUAAGAAAGAUCUUCUCUAUCUCUAGCAAGUGUUGAGGCCCACGCUAAGAGUCUAGGUCAGCUGGGUUGUCCCCAGAAGAGGGCAAUGCAAGACUGAUUAACUUUUAGGAAAUACUUUUGCACUCAUGGCUGAAACUGUUCGGAUACCCUUUUUUAUGCUUUUGGGUAAAAUUCCAUGAGCAUGAUAACUUAGAAUUGUGCUUUUAUUGUUAACAGUAUUGCCUUCAACUUACAUUAAUGUUGUAUAAUGCAGGUUAACAGUGCGCAUCAUUCUAUUAGAAAUCUAGAGCACCAAUAUGUUAUGCUAUUAUUAACAGCAAUCCAUAGAUACGUAUGUAUCUGCAUUUUCUCUUUCUUGUCUCCUUGACAAACGCAAGGCAUUAUUCUUAAUAACACAAGUCAGUGGAAUAGCACAGAUUUCUAAAGGCCAUACUUCAAGCAGAACACAUCUCAACUUACGUUCUUAAGAAUUCUCUCUCAGGAAGGUUCUCUUAAAAAAAAAAAAAAAAAAAGAAAAGAUGACAAGGCAAACAUUAGCAAACAUUAGCCUGAUGUGUUCUGACAUCUAUUUUGGGGACCUCAUCACCCAAUAGAAAAAAUAACUACACAGCUGAGUUACUUUGAAAUCUGCACUUCAUGGAAGGCUUUAUUUUUUCUGUGUAUGAUCUCAGAGUAAUUCCAUUGCACAUCAGUGCAUUUUAGUUACUUGAAUGGUAUGAAAAUCACUAAAAGUUUGUAUAUCUCUGUAAAGAGAACAGCAGUCUUUUAAAAGAACUGUCUUUCUGUCAGUGCUUUGAUUAUGCUGCAAGUAGUUAUGCACAGGAGGAAUCAACACAUUAUACAGAAGCCUCUCUCUGCACAGAGGACAGUGCAUAGAAAGUUAAAAUGAAAACUUACAAACAGCCACAUAAAUCCUUUUCGGUUCUGGCUUAAUGCAACUAUUACUUGGAACCGUAUGCAUCCAUAUCCCAUUGCCCACUGCACUUUCUUGGGGUUUAUCAGUAACGAUGUCAGAGCCACUGUUUUUUCCACUACAAAAACUAGAUUUCUAUUUAAAAAAAUUUUGGAGUUUAGGAGUUGUGGGUUUUUUGCUUUUACAUCUCUACCCACUGCAAAAUAUUCACCCAAAACAUUUAAAAGCAUUACAAAGACCAGCAGUUUUCUCACUUUCUUAUGCUUUUUAUAUAUGUAGUUGAAGUCACACGCAGAGAAAGAACUCUUAAUAAUACUUAAUAGUAAUUAAGUACAACUAAUUUAAACAUAACUAAAAUCACAGGCUUGCAUAAUACUGACUUACGUACCCUUUCCAUUUCAGACUCAUUAGUUUUGAGUCAAACUGUUCUCAGCUACAGCUGUCUUUCCAUCUCCUGCAAGUACACCGAUUUAUCUGGUGGCACCUGUAACACCGCAUGGUACUGAGGUUAAAAAAGCCCAAACAAAAACCUAGGCAGUUAGCAACCUGACUUGGAAAGAUAUUUUUUACUUCCUCUACAGACUGAAACAAGCCAGUAGAGAGCCAUGCCCUCAGAGGACUCAAAGAUGAAUCCUAAGAAAAAGCGCAAAUAGUCUUUCAGUCCAGCAUGGGACACAGGCUAUGUUAAUGCAUACUCAAAUAGCAGCAGAUAACUACAGUCCACAUUACUAAUGGACCUGCUUUUCAAGUUAUUAAGAGUGCAUAUAGCUUGGACUUAAAUUUUUAAGUAAUACCCCCAGUAAGUCACAUUUCAAAACUCACUUAGAUUAGGAUAGGCUGUAUUAUUUCUGGUUACUGUCAAAUUUGAAGCAGUGCUUCACAAAACACAUAUGCUUUUGGCUUCUGAAAAAAAUCAAUUCUCUUCAAUUAGCAGAGCUUUAAAAAUAAAUAAA